rnacentral:rRNA from 1 species
ACGUAGGGGGCAAGCGUUAUCCGGAAUUAUUGGGCGUAAAGAGUGCGUAGGUGGUUUUUUAAGCGUGAGGUGAAAGGCAAUAGCUUAACUAUUGUAAGCCUUGCGAACUGGAAGACUUGAGUGCAGGAGAGGAAAGUGGAAUUCCUAGUGUGGCGGUUAAAUGCGUAGAUACUAGGAGGAACACCAGUGGGGGAGGCGAGUUUCUGGGAUGUAACACACACUGAGGCACGAAAGCGUGGGGAGCAAGCAG